UCCGGUUUGUCACCGGCAGUCUCCCAUGAGUCCCCACCAUUAUGUGCUGGCAACAUGGAACGAGGGUUGCGCUCGUUGCGGGACUUAACCCAACAUCUCACGACACGAGCUGACGACAACCAUGCACCACCUGUGCACAGCCCUUACGGACCCCGCAUCUCUGCGAGAUUUCCGUGCAUGUCAAGCCUAGGUAAGGUUCUUCGCGUUGCAUCGAAUUAAGCAACAUGCUCCGCCGCUUGUGCGGGCCCCCGUCAAUUCCUUUGAGUUUUAGCCUUGCGGCCGUACUCCCCAGGCGGGACACUUAACGCGUUAACUGCGGCACAGAGGGAUUCGACUCCCCCCACACCUAGUGUCCAUCGUUCACGGCUAGGACUAC
rnacentral:misc_RNA from 1 species